GUGUGACAGGGUAUGUCUGGAGAAUCUGGCACUAAAGGACAGCACAGAGUGAGGAGACCUUGGACAUAAUGGUCCAACAUGGAGACUCUGGGAAGCCAGGUGAUGUAGGACCCCCUGGACUGCCUGGUCCUCGGGGGUUGAACGGCAUGAGCGGUGUGCAUGGCAGGCCGGGUAUUGAGGGUCCACCGGGACAAGAUAUAUCUGACCAGCAUAUUAUUGAUGUGGUAUAAAGAAUGUUGCAAGAGAGGCUGGCAGCAGUAGCAGUGAGCACUAAAAGGGCUGUGCCGUUGAACAACCGGCUAUUCUGGUCCUCCGUGAUUAAUGGUUCCACAAGGACCACAUGGUUUGCCUGGUUCCCGAAAAAUUCCUGGAACGAUGGGAGCUGACAGACGGAUUGGAAACACAGGUCUUAAAGCUGGAUGUCCCCUCAUCGACAGCUGGAGAGCGAAUGAGCCGGUGGAGUAGGAGGAGGACUUAUUUAUGAGAGCUCUACAGGGGUGGAGCUUCGGUUCCCCUGCAGUGUCACAACGGACCUCUCAGCCCAACCACGCAAGACAAUCUGGAUGUCCCCUCAUCGACAGCUGGAGAGCGAAUGAGCCGGUGGAGUAGGAGGAGGACUUAUUUAUGAGAGCUCUACAGGGGGUGGAGCUUCGGUUCCCCUGCAGUGUCACAACGGACCCCUCAGCCCAACCACGCAAGACAAUGUAAAUAUGGUUGUUCUUUUGUGCCUCAACUCCUGUCAUGUGUUUGAGCUCCUCACCACACUGACAUGGUGCCACUUGCACUCACGUCCCUCGCAAACAGAGUCCCCAGGAAGCCCCACGACCGGCAGAACGCCACCCAAAGACGGACUGGAGGCACUGGCGGGUUAGGUUUGGGGUUAGGAUUAGGGUUGGGGUAAGGGUGUGCUCGGUCCGUCUGCAGCCCGCCCGGGCGACGCCCACACCAGUCGCAGAACCCCCCGAGAACCCCGAAGGCGUACAACGCCAAACUCCUGGGUGUGCAGUGUGGUGGCAAACACGGCCAAAUGGUUUUGGCUGUCCAACGACGCGUUUCGGUCCCUCAGACCUCAUCAGGUUGGCUGUUCUCUAACACACGGCUUCUUACUUGUCUUCACAGCUGGAUGUCCCCUCAUCGACAGCUGGAGAGCGAAUGAGCCGGUGGAGUAGGAGGAGGACUUAUUUAUGAGAGCUCUACAGGGGGUGGAGCUUCGGUUCCCCUGCAGUGUCACAACGGACCCCUCAGCCCAACCACGCAAGACAAUGUAAAUAUGGUUGUUCUUUUGUGCCUCAACUCCUGUCAUGUGUUUGAGCUCCUCACCACACUGACAUGGUGCCACUUGCACUCACGUCCCUCGCAAACAGAGUCCCCAGGAAGCCCCACGACCGGCAGAACGCCACCCAAAGACGGACUGGAGGCACUGGCGGGUUAGGUUUGGGGUUAGGAUUAGGGUUGGGGUAAGGGUGUGCUCGGUCCGUCUGCAGCCCGCCCGGGCGACGCCCACACCAGUCGCAGAACCCCCCGAGAACCCCGAAGGCGUACAACGCCAAACUCCUGGGUGUGCAGUGUGGUGGCAAACACGGCCAAAUGGUUUUGGCUGUCCAACGACGCGUUUCGGUCCCUCAGACCUCAUCAGGUUGGCUGUUCUCUAACACACGGCUUCUUACUUGUCUUCACAGCUGGAUGUCCCCUCAUCGACAGCUGGAGAGCGAAUGAGCCGGUGGAGUAGGAGGAGGACUUAUUUAUGAGAGCUCUACAGGGGGUGGAGCUUCGGUUCCCCUGCAGUGUCACAACGGACCCCUCAGCCCAACCACGCAAGACAAUGUAAAUAUGGUUGUUCUUUUGUGCCUCAACUCCUGUCAUGUGUUUGAGCUCCUCACCACACUGACAUGGUGCCACUUGCACUCACGUCCCUCGCAAACAGAGUCCCCAGGAAGCCCCACGACCGGCAGAACGCCACCCAAAGACGGACUGGAGGCACUGGCGGGUUAGGUUUGGGGUUAGGAUUAGGGUUGGGGUAAGGGUGUGCUCGGUCCGUCUGCAGCCCGCCCGGGCGACGCCCACACCAGUCGCAGAACCCCCCGAGAACCCCGAAGGCGUACAACGCCAAACUCCUGGGUGUGCAGUGUGGUGGCAAACACGGCCAAAUGGUUUUGGCUGUCCAACGACGCGUUUCGGUCCCUCAGACCUCAUCAGGUUGGCUGUUCUCUAACACACGGCUUCUUACUUGUCUUCACAGCUGGAUGUCCCCUCAUCGACAGCUGGAGAGCGAAUGAGCCGGUGGAGUAGGAGGAGGACUUAUUUAUGAGAGCUCUACAGGGGGUGGAGCUUCGGUUCCCCUGCAGUGUCACAACGGACCCCUCAGCCCAACCACGCAAGACAAUGUAAAUAUGGUUGUUCUUUUGUGCCUCAACUCCUGUCAUGUGUUUGAGCUCCUCACCACACUGACAUGGUGCCACUUGCACUCACGUCCCUCGCAAACAGAGUCCCCAGGAAGCCCCACGACCGGCAGAACGCCACCCAAAGACGGACUGGAGGCACUGGCGGGUUAGGUUUGGGGUUAGGAUUAGGGUUGGGGUAAGGGUGUGCUCGGUCCGUCUGCAGCCCGCCCGGGCGACGCCCACACCAGUCGCAGAACCCCCCGAGAACCCCGAAGGCGUACAACGCCAAACUCCUGGGUGUGCAGUGUGGUGGCAAACACGGCCAAAUGGUUUUGGCUGUCCAACGACGCGUUUCGGUCCCUCAGACCUCAUCAGGUUGGCUGUUCUCUAACACACGGCUUCUUACUUGUCUUCACAGCUGGAUGUCCCCUCAUCGACAGCUGGAGAGCGAAUGAGCCGGUGGAGUAGGAGGAGGACUUAUUUAUGAGAGCUCUACAGGGGGUGGAGCUUCGGUUCCCCUGCAGUGUCACAACGGACCCCUCAGCCCAACCACGCAAGACAAUGUAAAUAUGGUUGUUCUUUUGUGCCUCAACUCCUGUCAUGUGUUUGAGCUCCUCACCACACUGACAUGGUGCCACUUGCACUCACGUCCCUCGCAAACAGAGUCCCCAGGAAGCCCCACGACCGGCAGAACGCCACCCAAAGACGGACUGGAGGCACUGGCGGGUUAGGUUUGGGGUUAGGAUUAGGGUUGGGGUAAGGGUGUGCUCGGUCCGUCUGCAGCCCGCCCGGGCGACGCCCACACCAGUCGCAGAACCCCCCGAGAACCCCGAAGGCGUACAACGCCAAACUCCUGGGUGUGCAGUGUGGUGGCAAACACGGCCAAAUGGUUUUGGCUGUCCAACGACGCGUUUCGGUCCCUCAGACCUCAUCAGGUUGGCUGUUCUCUAACACACGGCUUCUUACUUGUCUUCACAGCUGGAUGUCCCCUCAUCGACAGCUGGAGAGCGAAUGAGCCGGUGGAGUAGGAGGAGGACUUAUUUAUGAGAGCUCUACAGGGGGUGGAGCUUCGGUUCCCCUGCAGUGUCACAACGGACCCCUCAGCCCAACCACGCAAGACAAUGUAAAUAUGGUUGUUCUUUUGUGCCUCAACUCCUGUCAUGUGUUUGAGCUCCUCACCACACUGACAUGGUGCCACUUGCACUCACGUCCCUCGCAAACAGAGUCCCCAGGAAGCCCCACGACCGGCAGAACGCCACCCAAAGACGGACUGGAGGCACUGGCGGGUUAGGUUUGGGGUUAGGAUUAGGGUUGGGGUAAGGGUGUGCUCGGUCCGUCUGCAGCCCGCCCGGGCGACGCCCACACCAGUCGCAGAACCCCCCGAGAACCCCGAAGGCGUACAACGCCAAACUCCUGGGUGUGCAGUGUGGUGGCAAACACGGCCAAAUGGUUUUGGCUGUCCAACGACGCGUUUCGGUCCCUCAGACCUCAUCAGGUUGGCUGUUCUCUAACACACGGCUUCUUACUUGUCUUCACAGCUGGAUGUCCCCUCAUCGACAGCUGGAGAGCGAAUGAGCCGGUGGAGUAGGAGGAGGACUUAUUUAUGAGAGCUCUACAGGGGGUGGAGCUUCGGUUCCCCUGCAGUGUCACAACGGACCCCUCAGCCCAACCACGCAAGACAAUGUAAAUAUGGUUGUUCUUUUGUGCCUCAACUCCUGUCAUGUGUUUGAGCUCCUCACCACACUGACAUGGUGCCACUUGCACUCACGUCCCUCGCAAACAGAGUCCCCAGGAAGCCCCACGACCGGCAGAACGCCACCCAAAGACGGACUGGAGGCACUGGCGGGUUAGGUUUGGGGUUAGGAUUAGGGUUGGGGUAAGGGUGUGCUCGGUCCGUCUGCAGCCCGCCCGGGCGACGCCCACACCAGUCGCAGAACCCCCCGAGAACCCCGAAGGCGUACAACGCCAAACUCCUGGGUGUGCAGUGUGGUGGCAAACACGGCCAAAUGGUUUUGGCUGUCCAACGACGCGUUUCGGUCCCUCAGACCUCAUCAGGUUGGCUGUUCUCUAACA